GGGAAACCGAGUCUUAAUAGGGCGACAGUCGCUGGGAUUAGACCCGAAACCGGGCGAUCUAUCCAUGGCCAGGUUGAAGGUCGGGUAAUACCGACUGGAGGACCGAACCAACUUAUGUUGAAAAAUGAGUGGAUGAGCUGUGGAUAGGAGUGAAAGGCUAAACAAGCCCGGAGAUAGCUGGUUCUCCCCGAAAUCUAUUUAGGUAGAGCGUCGCGAUUAUACCCUCGGGGGUAGAGCACUGGAUGGGC
rnacentral:rRNA from 1 species